rnacentral:rRNA from 1 species
CCCUUAGAUGUUCUGGGCCGCACGCGUGCUACACUGAGUGGAUCAGCGGGUCAGGUUGCGCGAAAGUGUUUCCUAAUCUUUAAAUCCGCUCGUGAUGGGGAUUGACGGUUGCAAUUUUCCGUCAUGAACGAGGAAUACCUUGUAAGCGCGGGUCAUCAUCCCGCGCUGAAUACGUCCCUGCCCUUUGUACACACCGCCCGUCGCUCCUACCGAUUAAGUGGUCCGGUGAGGCUUUGGGAUCUGAGCGGAAAGAGCGUUUCGCUGUUUCUGCCCGGAAAACUCAGUCGAACCUUAUCAUUUAGAGGAAGGAGAAGUCGUAACA